AGUGAACGCUGGCGGUAGGCCUAACACAUGCAAGUCGAACGGCAGCACAGGAGAGCUUGCUCUCUGGGUGGCGAGUGGCGGACGGGUGAGGAAUACAUCGGAAUCUGCCCAGUCGUGGGGGAUAACGUAGGGAAACUUACGCUAAUACCGCAUACGACCUUCGGGUGAAAGAGGGGGAUCGCAAGACCUCUCGCGAUUGGAUGAGCCGAUGUCGGAUUAGCUAGUUGGCGGGGUAAUGGCCCACCAAGGCGACGAUCCGUAGCUGGUCUGAGAGGAUGAUCAGCCACACUGGAGCUGAGACACGGUCCAGACUCCUACGGGAGGCAGCAGUGGGGAAUAUUGGACAAUGGGCGCAAGCCUGAUCCAGCCAUACCGCGUGGGUGAAGAAGGCCUUCGGGUUGUAAAGCCCUUUUGUUGGGAAAGAAAUCUUUCAGGCUAAUACCCUGGGAGGAUGACGGUACCCAAAGAAUAAGCACCGGCUAACUUCGUG
rnacentral:rRNA from 1 species